GUGAAUCAUCGAAUUUUUGAACGCAAAUUGCACUCUCCUCGGAGAGUAUGACUGUUUGAGUGUCAGCCUAUAAAAAUCGACAUCGUUACUGUUUCGCGGUGGCGUUCGUCGGAAAUUGGGUCAUCUUAAAUCUUUUUUGUUUAUGCUACUUAAAAUUUUCUUUUGUUUCCAUGAACUUUUCUAAGAUCUAUUUCUUUACUCGUUAAAUGUAUCUAUUUUUACUUGUCGUAACCAUCAUA
rnacentral:misc_RNA from 1 species